rnacentral:rRNA from 1 species
CCCUUAGAUGUUCUGGGCUGCACGCGCGCUACACUGAUGCGUUCAACGAGUUUAUGACCUUGCCCGAUAGGGUUGGGUAAUCUUUUUAAAUCGCAUCGUGAUGGGGAUAGAUUAUUGCAAUUAUUAAUCUUCAACGAGGAGUUCCUAGUAAGCGCGAGUCAUCAGCUCGUGCUGAUUACGUCCCUGCCCUUUGUACACACCGCCCGUCGCUACUACCGAUUGGACGUUUUAGUGAGGAUUUUGGACUGAGCCAAUGGUGGUUCACACCACUGUUGUGCAUGGAAAGAUCUCCAAACUUGAGCGUUUAGAGGAAGUAAAAGUCGUAACA